GGGCAGAGGCAGGCAGGGAUCACGCCGGCAGUGAGCAAGCGGGGCAGGGCAGGGCAGCAGCAAGGAAGUGCUGUCAUGCCUGGCCUUGCCUUGCCUGGCCCUGCCCAGCCCAGGGAGGGCUGAGACAAACAAGGAUGAAGGAAGAAGGCAUUGCCAUCCAACUGCAAUGAGGGGAAUUGCCAUUCCCCUCUCUGCCCUGUGCCCAGCCUCUGCGGGAUUACUUUGACAUGGCAUUCCUGAUGUUUCUGGGAUGGGGGCUGCACUGAUGGUAUCAGGCCAGCAGCCAACUACAAAAAAUAACUAACCUGAACGUGAUCCAACAUGUCACAGCUGUAGAUGGGGAGCACAGGACACUGCCAGCUCGAUGUGACAGCUCUAUGACCUCCUCCACUUCCUCAGAUCCACACAAACACACCAGAGACAUCUCCCUCCAGGCAGUUGUUCCCAGCACAUUAUAACCUGUAACAAUAUCCUGUCCUCCCCAGAAAUGAGGGGGAACCCAGCUCAGGUCUGUCCAAGCCCUCCCCACUGCCACCUUCUCACCAGGCCCUUGGCCCCUGCCAGGCUCCUGCUUCUGCAGAGAGCACAUGAGAGAAGAUGGAGCUUGAACCCGGGCAGUGAGAAACCAACAGGGAACAGGAAAUUGAAGGAGAAUUAAGGCCACUGCUCAGCAAGGUGCCUCCCCACCCACCCUGAUGUCAGCUACUGGCUACACUGAGCAGGCAGCAUCCAAGGAGGGCAUCUCUACAUGGGCUUCAAAAUAUUGGUAAAACAGUUUGGCAACAUGCAAGCCAUUAUCAUGGUCCCUUGGAGCUGGUCUGCUUCUCCCUGUAAGAAAUUUCUGAGUAUCCACUCAGGUUACUCUUACCUUGCCUCCUCCACAUGAAGAAGAGGCUCAUCCUCCUUCAAGACCACCUCUGAGACAGAUUUGCACAACGCCCACAAAAAAUUUCUGGAGAUAAAAAUCCUGAAGAUGAAAUAAAGGACACAGACUUGCUUCCUAAUCUAAGCACUUUCACCUCAAAAUGGAUUCCAGGAUUCCAGCCCAAUUCCUCAGGGCUUUCCAGGAAGACAGUGCUACUCCAACAGCAUCAGCACCAACAACACAGUGUGUUUUUAAGCCCUGGAAAACCAGCAGCUUAAACUCCAUCAAAGCCAAGGCAAUGGAGCAGUGGACACAAGGAAAAACCAUCAUCCUUGUCAUCUGUAUCCCACCACAUGCAUUUCCAAGUUUCUUCUCCCUUUUUUCCAUACCAAACCAGGUUGUCUAAGGAGCAAGAGGUGAAUCUUGCAACUGAGACACAUCAGCAUCAAUAUCCACCCACCAAAAAUAAAGCAAUACUCAACAGAAUUCCCAGGUAUAAGGGGUUACAAAUAUUCAGACUUUAUUAUAAAUAAGAAAUACUGUUUUAUACAUAAAAACUGCAAGUGUUGCAUUUUUGUUCACCGCCCCAGACAGCAAGACCACAGAUUAAGGCAAAAAAAGCUGGAGUGAAGGCACAUACUGAGGGGGCCACAGUCAGGAAUAAGGUGAUGAAGGGAUGUCAUGUGUCACCCAUGACACCCAGCACUCCACCAGCAGCUGUCACAUCAUCACAUUACGUAAAGAAAUAACUGGACUUAUACAAUGAAUAAUGGCUGUAAUGCAGUACUGAUUAACAGAUCGCUUAUAAAGAUUUUUUUUU